rnacentral:tRNA from 2 species
GCCCAGGUGCUGAAAUUGGUAGACAGGCAUGGUUGAGGGCCAUGUGUCCGUUAGGGCGUGCGGGUUCGAGUCCCGCCCUGGGCA